GUCAUUGCCUUUCAAGAUGAGGCAGAGAUCCUUGUCUUGCAAUGCCCAGUGUGCUAAGCUUUCUCACUUCCAGCAGUGGGGAAGGGUCAGAGAUUGUGUUGUUGUAUGCAUCCUCGGUGGCAUUAUUAACUGGAGCUUUUCAAACAGACGAAGUAUGUUACUGUGGCUAAAUUGUAAUGAAAGAAGAGAUGGCUGUUUGCCAAUAAAUGAUGCCAUAUGCAACAAAGUGCAGAGAUGGACUAUAGGCUUCCAGCGAGUUACCACUGCCAAGGAGGAUGCAAAGACAGGCAGUUUCCUGGCAUCCCCUGCUUUCUUGAAGACAAUGUACCAUAUCACCGUGGGGAAAAAAGAAAAGCAGAUUUCUCUGGACAGCAAUCAUCCUUCAGCUUCUAAGAAAGAACAGUCUCACUAGACAAGAUGACAAAGAAAAGUGGCCCCUUGGAUAAGCGACUCAUCACUUCUUCUGCCAUCACUUCUCACGUUAAUUCCAGUGACUACAGUACUACAAUGAAAAUGGAACAUAGGAGUUUUCGUAAGCAUGUAAGCAAAAAUAUCUUAAAAUCUCUGAAAAAUAAAAGUAGGAUUUAGGUACCCUUUUUUGCA
rnacentral:lncRNA from 1 species